GUUUGCUGACAUCAUUAGAAGUGGUGGCCUAAUCCAAUCACAGUGCUUCCCCAUAGGAUUGGCUGAGACUGACAAUGAGGCAGAUCAGGUGCAGAGCCAACAUGAUUCAAACACAGCCCUGGCCAAUCAGCAUCUCCUCAUAGAGAUGAAUUGAAUCAAUGAAUCUCUAUGAGGAAAAUUCAGUGUCUGCAUGCAGAGGGAGGAGACACUGAAU